rnacentral:rRNA from 1 species
UGAACGCUGGCGGCGUGCUUAACACAUGCAAGUUGAGCGGUAAGGCCCCUUCGGGGGUACACGAGCAGCGAACGGGUGAGUAACGCGUGGGUAAUCUACCCAUGAGGUGGAGGAUAGCCUCGGGAAACCGGGGGUAAUACUGCAUACGUCCCGACUGACAUAAGUCUAACGGGGGAAAGGCGGGGAUCUUCGGACCUGUCGCCUCUGGAUGAGCCCGCGUCCGAUUAGCUUGUUGGUGAGGUAAUGGCUCACCAAGGCAUCGAUCGGUAGCCGGCCUGAGAGGGUGAACGGCCACAUUGGGACUGAGACACGGCCCAGACUCCUACGGGAGGCAGCAGUGGGGAAUUUUGGGCAAUGGGGGAAACCCUGACCCAGCGACGCCGCGUGGAGGAUGAAGGCCUUCGGGUUGUAAACUCCUGUCAGGUGGGAAGAAGAGUCCUACGGAUAAUACCCGUAGGAAAUUGACGGUACCACCAAAGGAAGCCCCGGCUAACUCC